GCUGGGUGUGGUGGUGGAUGCCUGUAAUCCCAGCUACUCAGGAGGCUGAAGCAGGAGGAUCGCUUGAGCCCAGGAGGUGGAGGUUGCAGUGAGCCGAGAUUAUGCCACUGCACUCCAGCCUGGGCAACAGAGUGAGACUCUGUCUCAA
rnacentral:sRNA from 1 species